GUGUUGGUGGAAAGAUUUAUCGGUGGUGGAUGGACUCGCGGCCUAUCAGCUUGUUGGUGGGGUAAUGGCCUACCAAGGCGACGACGGGUAGCCGGCCUGAGAGGGCGACCGGCCACACUGGGACUGAGACACGGCCCAGACUCCUACGGGAGGCAGCAGUGGGGAAUAUUGCACAAUGGGCGAAAGCCUGAUGCAGCGACGCCGCGUGAGGGAUGACGGCCUUCGGGUUGUAAACCUCUUUCAGCAGGGAAGAAGCUUUUGUGACGGUACCUGCAGAAGAAGCACCGGCUAACUACGUGCCAGCAGCCGCGGUAAUACGUAGGGUGCGAGCGUUGUCCGGAAUUAUUGGGCGUAAAGAGCUUGUAGGCGGUUUGUCGCGUCUGCUGUGAAAAUUCAGGGCUUAACCCUGGACGUGCAGUGGGUACGGGCAGACUAGAGURUGGUAGGGGAGACUGGAAUUCCUGGUGUAGCGGUGGAAUGCGCAGAUAUCAGGAGGAACACCGAUGGCGAAGGCAGGUCUCUGGGCCAUUACUGACGCUGAGAAGCGAAAGCAUGGGGAGCGAACAGGAUUAGAUACCCUGGUAGUCCAUGCCGUAAACGUUGGGCGCUAGGCGUGGGUCUCAUUCCACGAGAUCCGUGUCGCAGCUAACGCAUUAAGCGCCCCGCCUGGGGAGUACGGCCGCAAGGCUAAAACUCAAAGGAAUUGACGGGGGCCCGCACAAGCGGCGGAGCAUGCUGAUUAAUUCGAUGCAACGCGAAGAACCUUACCAAGGCUUGACAUGCACCGGAUCGCCUCAGAGAUGGGGUUUCCCUUUGGGCUGGUGCACAGGUGGUGCAUGGUUGUCGUCAGCUCGUGUCGUGAGAUGUUGGGUUAAGUCCCGCAACGAGCGCAACCCUCGUUCUAUGUUGCCAGCACGUGAUGGUGGGGACUCAUAGGAGACUGCCGGGGUCAACUCGGAGGAAGGUGGGGAUGACGUCAAAUCAUCAUGCCCCUUAUGUCUUGGGCUUCAAGCAUGCUACAAUGGCC
rnacentral:rRNA from 1 species